rnacentral:rRNA from 1 species
AUUGAACGCUGGCGGCAGGCCUAACACAUGCAAGUCGAGCGAGCGGCGGACGGGUGAGUAAUGUAUGGGGACUGCCCGAUAGAGGGGGAUAACUCCUGGAAACGGUAGCUAAUACCGCAUACUAUCGGAUAACCCAUAUGGGAUUAGCUAGUAGGUGCGGUAAUGGCUCAACUAGGCGACGAUCCCUAGCUGGUCUGAUAGGAUGAUCAGCAACACUGGGACUGAGACACGGCCCAGACUCCUACGGAGGCAGCAGGGGGGAAGAUUGCACAAUGGGAGCAAGCCUGAUUCAGCCAUUCCGCGUGUAUGAAGAAGGCCCUAGGGUUGUAAAGUACGUUCAGUCGGGAGGCGUUACCGACAGAAGAAGCACCGGCUAACUCCUUGCCAGCAGCCGCGGUAAUUC